CCUACGGGGGGCAGCAGUGGGGAAUAUUGGGCAAUGGGCGCAAGCCUGACCCAGCAACGCCGCGUGAAGGAAGAAGGCUUUCGGGUUGUAAACUGCUUUUAUAAGCGAGAAAUAUGAUGGUAACUUAUGAAUAAGGAUCGGCUAACUACGUGCCAGCAGCCGCGGUCAUACGUAGGAUCCGAGCAUUAUCCGGAGUGACUGGGUGUAAAGAGUUGCAUAGGUGGCAUAAUAAGUAGCUAGUGAAAUCUGGUGGCUCAACCAUUCAGACUAUUAGCUAAACUGUUAAGCUCGAGACCGUUAGGGGUAACUGGAAUUUCUAGUGUAGGAGUGAAAUCCGUAGAUAUUAGAAGGAACACCAAUAGCGUAGGCAGGUUACUGGGACGGUUCUGACACUAAGGCACGAAAGCGUAGGGAGCAAACGGGAUUAGAUACCCUUGUAGUC
rnacentral:rRNA from 1 species